GGAAGAGAAUCUGCAAUCCUUCUCCGGGAUGAGCGAGACAGAACCCAGGUGGGAAAGGCCUGGUAUCUUCACCUGAUUAGGAGUGGAGGAGACUAAACAAUCCCAGUAAUCCCAGACUAAAUAAUCAUCAGAGGCUGAAGAUCGUUUGGUGAGGACGUUUGGAUUGUGUAUUUGUUGGACCCAAUUAUCCCAGGAGGGUGGACUAAAUUGUGACCUGGCCAGAGGGCUGAGUUAGGAGACAAAAGACACCCCAGCACCAGAGAGCAAUCAUCGGUCGUAAGCACCAGGCUGGGAGAGAGCCUCUGUGCCGUGUCUGGCUACAAGGAGACACUCCAGUGGGAUGAACUCGUUCUUUCCAGAACAGCCCAAGGGGAAGCGCCUACCCAUCCUGGCUUUCCCCACUGCUGAGGAGAGUGUUCAGAGCAGCUUUCUGGGGCCCUGCUAGAUCUGGACAGAGCUUCAGAUUCUCCAGGAUCUGAGGGUUGGAGUCUGUGAUGGCUGCUGGAUCCAUGUCACACACCAACGCACCGAGACUGCUAAGCUGCUCCUUGCUGAGAGUGUUAUUCAUCCCGCCCUGGGGGAAAGGGCAACACAGCAGGUGCCAGAAUUGUCUUAUAAACCAGGCAACUCCCCAGAGCUGGGCGAGUGAGAUCAAUAUGUUUUGCAAUAUUUCUGAGUGAACUAUUCAAACUUGUUUUCCUUCAGUAUUCACCUGGCUUACAAGCAAAAGGCCGCGUCUGACCACUAUAUCUUACAACAGACAGUAACUUACUCAAUUACUCGGUGAGUAAUUUAUAACUCAAUAUUAA